rnacentral:rRNA from 1 species
UACGGAGGAUCCGAGCGUUAUCCGGAUUAUUGGGUUUAAAGGGUGCGUAGGCGGUUUUAUAAGUCAGUGGUGAAAGGUUAGAGCUUAACUUUGACAGCGCCAUUGAAACUGUAUAACUUGAGUACAGAUGAAGUUGGCGGAAUGUGGCAAGUAGCGGUGAAAUGCAUAGAUAUGCCACAGAACACCGAUAGCGAAGGCAGCUGACUAAGGUGAUACUGACGCUGAAGCACGAAGGCGUGGGGAUCAAACAGG